AGUGAACGCUGGCGGUAGGCCUAACACAUGCAAGUCGAACGGCAGCACAGUAAGAGCUUGCUCUUACGGGUGGCGAGUGGCAGACGGGUGAGGAAUACAUCGGAAUCUACUUUUUCGUGGGGGAUAACGUAGGGAAACUUACGCUAAUACCGCAUACGACCUACGGGUGAAAGCAGGGGAUCUUCGGACCUUGCGCGAUUGAAUGAGCCGAUGUCGGAUUAGCUAGUUGGCGGGGUAAAGGCCCACCAAGGCGACGAUCCGUAGCUGGUCUGAGAGGAUGAUCAGCCACACUGGAACUGAGACACGGUCCAGACUCCUACGGGAGGCAGCAGUGGGGAAUAUUGGACAAUGGGCGCAAGCCUGAUCCAGCCAUACCGCGUGGGUGAAGAAGGCCUUCGGGUUGUAAAGCCCUUUCGUUGGGAAAGAAAAGCAGCAGGUUAAUACCCCGCUGUUCUGACGGUACCCAAAGAAUAAGCACCGGCUAACUUCGUG
rnacentral:rRNA from 1 species